rnacentral:misc_RNA from 1 species
GAUGAAGAACGCAGCGAAAUGCGAUAAGUAAUGUGAAUUGCAGAAUUCAGUGAAUCAUCGAAUCUUUGAACGCACAUUGCGCCCGCCAGCAUUCUGGCGGGCAUGCCUGUUCGAGCGUCAUUUCAACCCUCAAGCUCUGCUUGGUGUUGGGGCCCUACGGUUGACGUAGGCCCUUAAAGGUAGUGGCGGACCCUCUCGGAGCCUCCCUUGCGUAGUAACUAACGUCUCGCAUUGGGAUUCGGAGGGACUCUUGCCGUAAAACCCCCAAAUUUUCUAAUGGUUGACCUCGGAUCAGGUAGGAAUACCCGCUGAACUUAAGCAUAUCAAUAAGCGGAGGA